GGCAAACCGUGGCAUAGUGGUUUGAGUGUUGGGCUGUGACUCUGCAGACCAGGGUUCAAAUCCCAGCUCGGCCA